AACGGACAGAGCACCAUGAUACAGCUGAAGAGCCUCCUCAUAAGCCAAGACCUUCUCAUCAUAAGCACUCACAGCGGCCUCAUCAGCAAGCUUAGUCGCAUCCGUUGCGGCCUGAGAAGCAUCCGCAGGAAGAGCCGGUGGGGUCGGCGGAGUGGGAGCCACGGGAGGAACCGGGCAUGACGGACAACAGACCUCGCCAGAAAGAAAACCCCAUAGGCGGAUGCCACGCAUGUGAAUGCGCAUGAAGCCAAUGAACUCGGUGUAAUUAGUGCCAUCAAAGAU
rnacentral:lncRNA from 1 species